rnacentral:tRNA from 1 species
GUCUCGGUAGUGUAAAGAAUAGAGCGCGGUACCCGGAAAGCACAAGUACGGGUUCAAGCCCCGUCCGAGACU